GACGAACGCUGUCGGCGUGCUUAACACAUGCAAGUCGAACGGAAAGGCCCUGCAUUUGUGGGGUGCUCGAGUGGCGAACGGGUGAGUAACACGUGAGUAACCUGCCCUUGACUUUGGGAUAACUUCAGGAAACUGGGGCUAAUACCGGAUAGGAGCUCCUGCUGCAUGGUGGGGGUUGGAAAGUUUCGGCGGCUGGGGAUGGACUCGCGGCUUAUCAGCUUGUUGGUGGGGUAGUGGCUUACCAAGGCUUUGACGGGUAGCCGGCCUGAGAGGGUGACCAGCCACAUUGGUACUGAGAUACGGCCCAGACUCCUACGGGAGGCAGCAGUGGGGAAUAUUGCACAAUGGGCGGAAGCCUGAUGCAGCAACGCCGCGUGCGGGAUGACGGCCUUCGGGUUGUAAACCGCUUUCGCCUGUGACGAAGCGUGAGUGACGGUAAUGGGUAAAGAAGCACCGGCUAACUACGUG
rnacentral:rRNA from 1 species